CGGGAAGCUGCUGACCUGAACUCGUGUUCGCGCCUGUUUAAGCUUUUCCUACAUUUCCUUCACGGUCUCAUGUGGGUUCGAACACGCGCAAACAAAUAGGAAGCUACCACGUUAUUUCUAAUGCAUUAGUGGCCAUCGUCUAGUGCAAACUAUCUUAUAUUUUCCUAGUUACCCCAAUAAUCAUCCACCAUUGGGCAGACCCAAGAACUUCUUGCCCUGAUUAAACGCGUCAGUGCACCAUAAAACCAUGAUCUCACCCGUAGCAAAUAACUUAAAACUGACAGCUACCCAUUAUCGUGUCCGUUGGGGGACAACAGGUAAAAGGAUUGCCAAGCUUUCUUUGGAAAGUGGUGCUUCGUAGCCUCCGCCUCUGUUGAAAAUUAAAAUGGUAUAACUGUUCAUAUCGUAUUAUAUUGCUUUCCCACCUUCACUUUCAUCUUUAUUUAUGUUUUAAUAAUCAACAAAAGCGCGUCCUUCUUCAAGCAACGCUUUGAAUCAAGGAAAAAUCUUUAUAUAUUUCGCUCCCUGUGCAUGUUAGGCAUCGCCAUUUUUCGAGGAAUAUUUGUUAUUCGUUAGUUGAUUGAUUCUCAGAAUGGACUUUCGUAAUAGCUUUUCGCCUCGUUCUGGGAGAUUGAAAGAUCUUAAGGAUUCCUUUCGUCAUCUCGUGUCUAGGAGUCAUGAUGCAGCCACGGUUGGUGUAAAAUCUGAGAGUGUAUUGAAGGACUUCUAUAUUCCAGAUUACAUUCUUGUGGCUGGAUCCGAGCCAGAGGUAUACAAUGAGGAAUUUCAUUCGCCUUCGUGCCCUGUCAUUGUGUUUAUCAACUCAAAAAGUGGAGGCCAGCUCGGAGGGGAACUUCUUGUUACGUAUCGCUCCCUUCUUAACCAAAACCAGGUUAUUGAUUUGGGAGAAAAGGCUCCUGAUAAGGUCCUCCAUCAAAUUUAUGCCACUCUGCAAACUCUCAAGAACAGCGGUGAUGAAUUGGCUACUGAAAUUGAGAAGCGACUAAGAAUUAUCGUUGCAGGUGGAGAUGGUACAGCUGGUUGGCUCCUCAGUGUAGUUUGCGAUCUCAAACUACCUCAACCUCCACCAAUUGCUACAGUGCCUUUGGGAACCGGAAAUAACCUCCCAUUUUCAUUUGGUUGGGGAAAGAAAAACCCAGGCACAGACAGUUUAUCUGUGGAGUCAUUCUUGGAACAAGUAAGGGCUGCCAAGGAAAUGAAAAUUGACAGGUAACAGAAUAGUUAUGUUCUAGAUCUUUUCUUGUUACCUACAUAAAUACAUACAAUCACACAAGCAUAUCAUGAGGCAUAAGUGGACACUGAACUGCAGAUGUGUCUGCCAUCAGUGCUAGAUGAAAUAAUGGCAAUAGCUGUUAAUACACAAGUGAAUUGGGAAAGUUCAAAUACCAUUGAAGUUUUCCUUGCUGACUUCAUGCUGGCAUAUUAUCAUGAGAAUGAAAUGCCCAAAAGAAGGUUCUUGUGAUCCUGUUGCACCUCUUGAACUACCCCAUUCUUUGCAUGCAUUCCAUCGUGUCUCUGAAUCAGAUUCAUUAAAUAUGGUAAGUCUUAAUUUGCAUUUUGUGGGCAGAUGUAUUUCCAAGUUAUACAUGAAUUAUGAGUUUUUGACUUCCAAAAGAAGAGGAAAAUAAUUCUUGAUGUUCACUGCUCUAAUGGUAUCAACCAUAAGGCCCAAAUGAAAACAAAUGUAUUACUAUAUUGUGGAUCUAUGUGCCAGUUAACACCUGCAACUUAUUGUUAGUGGAAGGAACAGAAUUGGAUAAUUAAAUGUCAAUAUCAAAACUCGUACCAUCCACUUCUAUUACUUGUGAUGACAUAUCAUCCACUUUUGUUUCCCACGAGGCAUUCUACAUUGGUUGAUUCCUAUACCAGUUUUUUAAAUUUGCUGCACAUGACACAAGGCUUCUUACUUUUGUUCGUUUUCCCUUCUGAUGUUUGUUUUGCCUCACAUGAGACGAUGCUUUGCUUACUUGUAAAUUUUCUUUUGGCUGUUGUCAGGAGGGUUACCACACUUUUCGUGGGGGCUUUUGGAACUAUUUCAGUAUGGGAAUGGAUGCUCAAGUAUCAUAUGCCUUUCACUCUGAGAGGAAGCUACACCCAGAGAAAUUUAAAAACCAAUUAGUAAACCAGGUAUCAUACCAAAUGUUUAAUAUUAUGCAUUUUUGGUAGGCAUGAUUAGAACUUGACAUGAUCUUUCCCUUUUUUUAUCUUUGUUUUAGUUCUUUUUGCUGGUUCUGUUGAAAAUUGGUUUAGACAUAUUUAAAGAAGCUAAAUGUUAAUGAUGACUUGAAGGAUCCUCUUGCUAAUUUUAUUCAAGCCUCCACCCACAUGCAAAAAUAACAUAGUAGUACUCUUAACUCUUAAGCUGUUCACAUUGAGCUAACACGACUAUCCUUAAUUCUCUUUCUUUUUGAGUAAUCAUUAAGAAGUAUGAUGGAUGCUAAAGUAGCAAUCAUUGUAAAGAACACAGGAUUGUAGUAAUUGUUGUGAUGUCACAACAAAUUUUUUGAGAUGGAUUGUUGUCAGAUACCUCAUGAUGGACAAGUGGAGUUGGAGGAGAUGGGGCAGUUAACUGGAUUUUUAAAACUUGGUAGAAUCUAUAAUCAUUUUCGGAGGUGUUACUAUCUAGAGGAGUGUUUUGGGGGGGGUGGGGGG
rnacentral:misc_RNA from 1 species